UGCAGUCGAGCGGUAGAGAGAAGCUUGCUUCUCUUGAGAGCGGCGGACGGGUGAGUAAUGCCUAGGAAUCUGCCUGGUAGUGGGGGAUAACGUUCGGAAACGAACGCUAAUACCGCAUACGUCCUACGGGAGAAAGCAGGGGACCUUCGGGCCUUGCGCUAUCAGAUGAGCCUAGGUCGGAUUAGCUAGUUGGUGAGGUAAUGGCUCACCAAGGCGACGAUCCGUAACUGGUCUGAGAGGAUGAUCAGUCACACUGGAACUGAGACACGGUCCAGACUCCUACGGGAGGCAGCAGUGGGGAAUAUUGGACAAUGGGCGAAAGCCUGAUCCAGCCAUGCCGCGUGUGUGAAGAAGGUCUUCGGAUUGUAAAGCACUUUAAGUUGGGAGGAAGGGCCAUUACCUAAUACGUGAUGGUUUUGACGUUACCGACAGAAUAAGCACCGGCUAACUCUGUGCCAGCAGCCGCGGUAAUACAGAGGGUGCAAGCGUUAAUCGGAAUUACUGGGCGUAAAGCGCGCGUAGGUGGUUUGUUAAGUUGGAUGUGAAAGCCCCGGGCUCAACCUGGGAACUGCAUUCAAAACUGACAAGCUAGAGUAUGGUAGAGGGUGGUGGAAUUUCCUGUGUAGCGGUGAAAUGCGUAGAUAUAGGAAGGAACACCAGUGGCGAAGGCGACCACCUGGACUGAUACUGACACUGAGGUGCGAAAGCGUGGGGAGCAAACAGGAUUAGAUACCCUGGUAGUCCACGCCGUAAACGAUGUCAACUAGCCGUUGGGAGCCUUGAGCUCUUAAUGGCGCAGCUAACGCAUUAAGUUGACCGCCUGGGGAGUACGGCCGCAAGGUUAAACUCCAAUGAAUUGACGGGGGCCCGACAAACCGUGGAACAUGUGGUUAAUUCGAACAACCGGAAAAACUUACCAGGCUUGAAUCCAUGAAUUUCCAAAAUGGAUUGGGCCUUCGGAACUUUGAA
rnacentral:rRNA from 1 species